rnacentral:rRNA from 1 species
CGAGCACGCGCGUGUGGCAUAUCAAUAAGCGGAGGAAAAGAAACUAACAAGGAUUCCCUUAGUAACGGCGAGUGAAGCGGGAAGAGCUCAAAUUUGAAAUCUUCAAGGUUCUACCUUGACGAAUUGUAGUUUAUAGAAGUGUUUUCUGUUAGUGGAGUGGCAAAAGUUCUUUGGAAUAGGACAUCAUAGAGGGUGAGAAUCCCGUAUUUGGUCAUUCCUCCUAGCGUUGUGAUACACUUUCAACGAGUCGGAUUGUUUGGGAAUGCAGUCCAAAAUGGGUGGUAAAUUUCAUCUAAAGCUAAAUAUUGGCGAGAGACCGAUAGCGAACAAGUACCGUGAGGGAAAGAUGAAAAGAACUUUGAAAAGAGAGUUAAACAGUACGUGAAAUUGUCAAAAGGGAAGCGUUUGACACCAGUGUUGUUUUUCCGAAAAUCAAUUACGAAUGUUUUGUUUUUGAGGAGUUAUGACUUCAUCGGCUUGCUUCUUUCUUUACGAAACUUUCUUAAUGCACUUUUCGGUUAACAAGUCAACAUCAAUUUCUUUUGUUGUAAAAGGGUAUGAGGAAGGUGGCUUUCUUUUCGGAGAAAGUGUUUAUAGCCUUGUGCCUCUACAAUCGGAGAGAUUGAGGUCUGCAGCGUAGAUCCUUCGGGGUUAGAUACGUUUGUGCUAAGUUAUAGCUUUUCAUAGACAACUUGUUGACUAUGUUAGUCUUGUAGCUUACUCGCAGCAUGCUAUUUUACCUACGCUUAGGAUGUUGAGUAGCGACAUACGCAC